rnacentral:rRNA from 1 species
AGAGGAAGUAAAAGUCGUAACAAGGUCUCCGUAGGUGAACCUGCGGAGGGAUCAUUACAAGAACGCCCGGGCUUCGGCCUGGUUAUUCAUAACCCUUUGUUGUCCGACUCUGUUGCCUCCGGGGCGACCCUGCCUUCGGGCGGGGGCUCCGGGUGGACACUUCAAACUCUUGCGUAACUUUGCAGUCUGAGUAAACUUAAUUAAUAAAUUAAAACUUUUAACAACGGAUCUCUUGGUUCUGGCAUCGAUGAAGAACGCAGCGAAAUGCGAUAAGUAAUGUGAAUUGCAGAAUUCAGUGAAUCAUCGAAUCUUUGAACGCACAUUGCGCCCCCUGGUAUUCCGGGGGGCAUGCCUGUUCGAGCGUCAUUUCACCACUCAAGCCUCGCUUGGUAUUGGGCAACGCGGUCCGCCGCGUGCCUCAAAUCGUCCGGCUGGGUCUUCUGUCCCCUAAGCGUUGUGGAAACUAUUCGCUAAAGGGUGUUCGGGAGGCUACGCCGUAAAACAACCCCAUUUCUAAGGUUGACCUCGGAUCAGGUAGGGAUACCCGCUGAACUUAAGCAUAU